rnacentral:rRNA from 1 species
GCAUCCUUUGCUGAGGAUACGGUUAGGGGGAGUGAGCGAAAGCGACGUUCAACCGCAAAACAAGCAGAGGGGGCUUAGUGGUGGGGUGACUGCGUACCUUUUGUAUAAUGGGUCAGCGACUUAUAUUCUGUAGCAAGGUUAACCGUAUAGGGGAGCCGGAGGGAAACCGAGUCUUAAUUGGGCGUUAAGUUGCAGGGUAUAGACCCGAAACCCGGUGAUCUAGCCAUGGGCAGGUUGAAGGUUGGGUAACACUAACUGGAGGACCGAACCGACUAAUGUUGAAAAAUUAGCGGAUGACCUGUGGCUGGGGGUGAAAGGCCAAUCAAACCGGGAGAUAGCUGGUUCUCCCCGAAAGCUAUUUAGGUAGCGCCUCGUGAAUUCAUCUCCGGGGGUAGAGCACUGUUUCGGCUAGGGGGCCAUCCCGGCUUACCAACCCGAUGCAAACUGCGAAUACCGGAGAAUGUUAUCACGGGAGACACACGGCGGGUGCUAACGUCCGUCGUGAAGAGGGAAACAACCCAGACCGCCAGCUAAGGUCCCAAAGUCAUGGUUAAGUGGGAAACGAUGUGGGAAGGCCCAGACAGCCAGGAUGUUGGCUUAGAAGCAGCCAUCAUUUAAAGAAAGCGUAAUAGCUCACUGGUCGAGUCGGCCUGCGCGGAAGAUGUAACGGGCUAAACCAUGCACCGAAGCUGCGGCAGCGAACGUAUCACCCAAGACAACUUUACGGAGUUGACGAUUGACGGAGCGAAGCGACGUCAAAGCGUUCAUUAAAGUCGAGUUGGCUUAGGGAUACGUUCGUUGGGUAGGGGAGCGUUCUGUAAGCCUGUGAAGGUGUGUCGUGAGGCAUGCUGGAGGUAUCAGAAGUGCGAAUGCUGACAUAAGUAACGAUAAAGCGGGUGAAAAGCCCGCUCGCCGGAAGACCAAGGGUUCCUGUCCAACGUUAAUCGGGGCAGGGUGAGUCGACCCCUAAGGCGAGGCCGAAAGGCGUAGUCGAUGGGAAACGGGUUAAUAUUCCCGUACUUGGUGUUACUGCGAAGGGGGGACGGAGAAGGCUAUGUUGGCCGGGCGACGGUUGUCCCGGUUUAAGCGUGUAGGUGUGUGUUCCAGGUAAAUCCGGUUCACUUUAACACUGAGGCGUGACGACGAGGCACUACGGUGCUGAAGCAACAAAUGCCCUGCUUCCAGGAAAAGCCUCUAAGCAUCAGGUAACACGAAAUCGUACCCCAAACCGACACAGGUGGUCAGGUAGAGAAUACCAAGGCGCUUGAGAGAACUCGGGUGAAGGAACUAGGCAAAAUGGUGCCGUAACUUCGGGAGAAGGCACGCUGACACGUAGGUGAAGUGAUUUACUCAUGGAGCUGAAGUCAGUCGAAGAUACCAGCUGGCUGCAACUGUUUAUUAAAAACACAGCACUGUGCAAACACGAAAGUGGACGUAUACGGUGUGACGCCUGCCCGGUGCCGGAAGGUUAAUUGAUGGGGUCAGCGCAAGCGAAGCUCCUGAUCGAAGCCCCGGUAAACGGCGGCCGUAACUAUAACGGUCCUAAGGUAGCGAAAUUCCUUGUCGGGUAAGUUCCGACCUGCACGAAUGGCGUAAUGAUGGCCAGGCUGUCUCCACCCGAGACUCAGUGAAAUUGAACUCGCUGUGAAGAUGCAGUGUACCCGCGGCAAGACGGAAAGACCCCGUGAACCUUUACUAUAGCUUGACACUGAACAUUGAGCCUUGAUGUGUAGGAUAGGUGGGAGGCUUUGAAGUGUGGACGCCAGUCUGCAUGGAGCCGACCUUGAAAUACCACCCUUUAAUGUUUGAUGUUCUAACGUGGACCCGUAAUCCGGGUUGCGGACAGUGUCUGGUGGGUAGUUUGACUGGGGCGGUCUCCUCCUAAAGAGUAACGGAGGAGCACGAAGGUUGGCUAAUCCUGGUCGGACAUCAGGAGGUUAGUGCAAUGGCAUAAGCCAGCUUGACUGCGAGCGUGACGGCGCGAGCAGGUGCGAAAGCAGGUCAUAGUGAUCCGGUGGUUCUGAAUGGAAGGGCCAUCGCUCAACGGAUAAAAGGUACUCCGGGGAUAACAGGCUGAUACCGCCCAAGAGUUCAUAUCGACGGCGGUGUUUGGCACCUCGAUGUCGGCUCAUCACAUCCUGGGGCUGAAGUAGGUCCCAAGGGUAUGGCUGUUCGCCAUUUAAAGUGGUACGCGAGCUGGGUUUAGAACGUCGUGAGACAGUUCGGUCCCUAUCUGCCGUGGGCGCUGGAGAACUGAGGGGGGCUGCUCCUAGUACGAGAGGACCGGAGUGGACGCAUCACUGGUGUUCGGGUUGUCAUGCCAAUGGCACUGCCCGGUAGCUAAAUGCGGAAGAGAUAAGUGCUGAAAGCAUCUAAGCACGAAACUUGCCCCGAGAUGAGUUCUCCCUGAGACUUAGAGUCUCCUGAAGGAACGUUGAAGACGACGACGUUGAUAGGCCGGGUGUGUAAGCGCAGCGAUGCGUUGAGCUAACCGGUACUAAUGAACCGUGAGGCUUAACC